rnacentral:rRNA from 1 species
GGGACGAACGCUGGCGGCGUGCUUAACACAUGCAAGUCGAGCGGAAAGGCCCUUCGGGGUACUCGAGCGGCGAACGGGUGAGUAACACGUGAGCAACCUGCCCUUAGCUUCGGGAUAGCUCCGGGAAACCGGAAUUAAUACCGAAUAUGACUUUGGCUGACAUCAGCAGAAGUGGAAAGUUUUUCGGCUGGGGAUGGGCCCGCGGCCUAUCAGCUUGUUGGUGGGGUGAUGGCCUACCAAGGCGACGACGGGUA